CAGCAGCCGCGGUAAUACGUAGGGUGCGAGCGUUAAUCGGAAUUACUGGGCGUAAAGCGUGCGCAGGCGGUUUUGUAAGCCAGAUGUGAAAGCCCCGGGCUCAACCUGGGAAUGGCAUUUGGGACUGCAAGGCUCGAGUGCGGCAGAGGAGACUGGAAUUCCCGGUGUAGCAGUGAAAUGCGUAGAUAUCGGGAGGAAUACCGAUGGCGAAGGCAGGUCUCUGGGCUGACACUGACGCUCAUGCACGAAAGCGUGGGGAGCAAACAGGAUUAGAUACCCUGGUAGUCCACGCCCUAAACGAUGUCGACUGGUUGUUGGGGGUUUGACACUCUCAGUAACGAAGCUAACGCGUGAAGUCGACCGCCUGGGGAGUACGGCCGCAAGGUUAAAACUCAAAGG
rnacentral:rRNA from 1 species